rnacentral:tRNA from 1 species
GAAGGUAUAGUUCUUAGGUAGAGUGUGUGCCUAGCAUGCACAAAGUCCUGGGUUCAAUUCCCAGUACCUCCA